UCCAAAGUCCCUUAGAAAUUCCCUAGAACUCUAUUGGAGCCAAAAUUCAAGGAAGGGAUUGGAUUGGAGAAUUGAAUGGAGAUUCUUCAUCAAAUUUAAGAAUUAGAUCCGUUGAGGUAUGGUUUUUGAUCCUUAAAACUCUAUUCAUCAAGUAGCCCAACUUUCAAAGAAUUUUCUGAAGUUUUCAAAGAUGACUGGUCCAAUUUUAUGAUCUAUACAUGGGUUAUUGCAUUAAAGGUUUUUAAGCAUUAUAUAUUGAUUAAAAUGUUCUUAAUUAGAUGAUUUUAACUCAAUUAACCUAUGAACCCAUGUAAUUGAUGAACCCUAGUUUUUGACUACUUUAUGGGUUGACUAAAUGCUUAUGAAUUCUAGUGUAGUUUUCUAUGGGCUAAUGAAUGAUGUAAUAAUUGUAUUCAAUUGAUGUAUAGAUUGUGUUAUAUUGAUGAAUCUAUAUUUAAUUGACCUAGUUUCAUUGAGUAUGAUGGUUUUUAUAUUGAAUUGAUGUUCAUGACCAUGGGUAAGGGCCUUAUGGUAUUGAAUUGGAUAAUUUAGCAUCGGAUUGAGGUGUUGAGGAUGGAGUGGUGGUAUUCUACCCUAAUUCCCUUUAUUUCAAUAUAUUUGUGUAGUUGUUAGAUCUUUGAAAUCUACCGUUUUAUAUAUGUCAUGACAUUAAUAAUAUAUAAGAAAAUUUAUUUAAAAUAAAAUAAAAAAUUUAAAGUCAUUUAUUUUCAAACAUAAAAUAUUUUGUAAUAUUUUUUUUGCAGCCUGAUUAGGUAAUUAGAAAAUAAUGCAAAUAAAUUGGAAGGGAUGGAAACACCAUAUAUCUCUCUUUAUUAGAAGUGACACUUGAGGAGUACGAACACUGCUAUAUGUAGUUGUACUAAGGGCCCGUUUGGCCAUAAAUUUUCCAAAUAAUAUUUGGGAAAAAUUUGGCAAAUAAUGUUUGUCCAUAUAAUUUGCCAUUAUUUGCCAAUUAUUUUUGACAAAUAUCCCAAAUUUCCAAAUACUAGUUUUUUCUAGUAUUUGGGCCAAAUCUCAUUAUUUGGGAUCUUUUAAAAAUUAAAAUUUUACCCCAAUCUUUUAUCUUUUACAAAAACACCCUCUCUAGUAGUUGCUUGCGUUGUAUUACAUCAUUUUUUACGUGAACACCAAAAUAGUGAUGAAAUAUGUAGUGAAUAUUAAAUAAUGAUAUGAUUGUUGAUGAAAAUUAUUAACAAUUGGCUUUAGGUAACAAAGUCAUGUACUUUGUCUACUUCACGAUGUAUGGAAUAAUUCUUGUUGCACUCACUUCAAAUUACCACACUGCUUUAGUGUCAUGGACAUUAUUUGUUAUUGUUGUAACGAACAUUCAUUGACUUGUAAUACAAACUCUUAGUUAAUUUUGAUUGUUUUUAAAACUUGUGUGUAUAAAUCAUAUUUUUCUAAUAAGGUGAAAUAUAUUUCCCAAAUUUUAUGGCCAAACACAUGGUGAAAUUUCACCCAAAUUUUCACUCAAAUAAUAUUUGCCAAGAAUAUUUGGAAAUCUAUGGCCAAACGCUAGCUAAAACUAGCAAAAUGUGUACAAUAAAUUAGGCCUAUUUUGAGUUCAAUGCCCACGUGUAUGUAUUUUAGGUCAAUGACCUCCAAGUUUUCUUUUUUUGACAGACAUGUAAGAAACAACUGAUUUCUUUUUUAUCUCUCUUUUCUCUGUAAAAUUGAUGCAUUUCUUCCUCCAAAUUAGUCUUGGUCGAAGAGUUGUAGGCAUUUUCUUUUUUUUUCUUUUUAUUUUUCUGAAAAUUUUUAGCAACUAGCAGUUGCAUUGGCAUUUGGCAAGGCUAUCCAAUAGAGCCUCUCUCACCGGAAAAUGAGUACCACGAAAUUAUUCAAAAUUCCCAACUUUUCUGGAACAAGCUUCAACAAUACUCCACAUCACUGCCUACCAAUUUCAAGUUAGUCCAAUUUUCUCUCUUUCUUUCCAUUUUAUGACUUCAAAAUGUAUUUGGAACAGUUUACUCCGUGCAAGUAUUUGAGGUAUAAAAUAAUAGGGUAAUAGUGUGUAAAACCUUUGCAUACAAGACAAGUAAAUUUUAACUUACAUGUAAUUGUACUCGAUUUGCUUCGAUGAUUUUACUUUGUUAUCAUCUAAUUAGUGUCUAACUAAAUUAUCUUGCUCAAAAUUUAAGGUGGCAAAUUGAAAUGUAAAAUUGAAUCGUCCAGAUUAUGCACUUAAGGUGCUUGAUGAUAUGUCCGAUUAUCUUAUUAUAAAUAGUCUUUGUCUUUUUAGAUUUUAGCAGAGAAAUAUCAAGGACAGCUGAUGAUCGUGCUUGAGUCUGAGGUCAACUACCAUUGAAGAUUUGAAUUAUCUUAUUGCUAAUGCAAGGUAUCAGUUUCUGCUACAGUUCUGUUUUGUUAUGUCUGCGUGAAAACAUGUAAAGUACCAACACAGUUCAUGUGAAUUUGUUAAGGAACACUUUUUUCAGUUCAAGUAUGUUUUUAAAUAUGUUGCAAUUCAUUCUAAGAGGGUCUGGAAACAAAAGAAGAUUGUGUAAAAUGAUAUUCGACAGAGAAAGGAAUAGGAAUAACAACAUUAAGCUUCUUGAAAGUUUAAACAAAUCUAAAUAGCACGUGAAAUCUAAUAAGUAAAUAUCGAGCAAGUGUUUACAUCAUAUUCUUCUGUGAAUUGUCUUAGCAGGGGUAGCUCGACAGUUUUAAAAAAACACAUGUGCCUUAGGACCCCAAAUUUGAAGGGGGCUCAUUUUAAAUAGUAAUAGGUUAUAGGUUUUUUUUUUUAACAAAUAUUAAAUAUUAUUUGUAGAAAAAGUAAACUUUUCAUGAAAAUGAAGGAAUCAUUAGAAGAAAAUUGACAUAUUUGGAGUACUGCACAUCAUGAAAAAUAAUUUAAAAUAAAAAUGAUUAUACUAUCAGUUGAAAAUUAGAAGAAAUCGUUUAUAUAAAAGUUCUUAACAAUUCAAGUUUAAGGCCCCAUUUGAUUUUUGCUUUGCCACUAAUAUGCUUGAGCCGCUCUUGUGUUUUAGCUAUUAUGGUGGUGUACAUAUGUCAGGGUCAACCACAUGCAUAUUCUAUAUAAUUUACACUGCAAUAUUAAUUUAUGUAGAUUGUUAAAUAUCUUUUAAGAUGCAGUGUUGAUAUUUUUACCUAUUUCAUAGGAUACUACAAGAAUUAUCCCAUCAUGUAAUAUGCAGUUUUGACUUUACAUCUUGCAGUAUUCUAUAAAAGUUGCAGGUCCGCUGUGUGAUGUUUUUUAUAUUAUGAUGUGUGAUUCUAUAAAAAUUCUCUGUGUGUGUUGCUUCGUAUUAUUAUUAAGUACCUAUUCAAAGGUAGCUGGUGGAUGUGAACCUGAAUAUAACUACAGCCUGCAUUCUGUCAAUAUGACAAAAAUGUGUAGAGAGAUUAAUUUGAUUCAUUCAUCAACCCAAAUUCUGACUCGAAGUGAGACCCUAAAAUAAUAAAGUAGGACGUAGCUAUGUGGACAUGUGUAAUCUGGAUGGUCAAUGAACCAAUAUCAUAUGAGGAGUAAAGUUGGUUUUCAUAGUUCUUAUUGGUCAAAGCAACGCAUGGCCAUUUCACACAUGACUUGAGUACGCAGGAAGCUGUCUGAAAAUUCUCAAUUGUCUCUCCAUCUUAUUUUUGUUCUGCUUGCUAGACAAAAGUAUAUGUGGGUAUCUUUCAUGCUCAGUACAGAAUCGGUAAGAAAUUAAAUAAAUAUAAAUAUUGUACACAAUUGUAUGUUCAAAACAUUACAAUGCCCAUAACAAGGAAAAAUGGAAUUGGACUGAAAAGGCCUAAACUUGAGAAAGAAGGAAAAAGAACAUACAUGACACUACCGUAAUAGGACUUGCCGCACUUCUUGAAACGAAAAUACCAAGACUAUGACUGCAUCACCUUAUGUUGUUCAACACAUGUAGGUGCCUUGGAUGCUUGACACUUCCACAUUGGCCUCUCAAGCGGAAAAAUGGGAUUAUUACGUGUAGUACCUUUGCUAAUGUUCUCAUCGAAUGAUGAUGAACUAUUCGAUUUCAAAUCCUCUUUAGGGCUUGGUUGAUCCCUGAAGCUACAAACGUUAAGUGAUAACUUUUUCUGCUUAAGCCCUCCUUUUUUUUUUUCUCAAUACAGUAACUAUCAUUUACAGAAGCCCCAACUUUCUCCUCUGGGAUAAGUGAUUCUCAUUCCUUUAAUCCGUAUUUACAUAGUCAGCUACUAGAGUGUGAUGCUUCCCCGUUUUUCAUAUGUGUGUGGUCAGAUUUACUGAAUUUUCUGUUUAAAUCUACUCUAAGAAAAGUCCUGCACUCUCCAAAAAUAUUAUUGCAUCUUUGUUGGAUCCUCCAAGAAUGUACUAUUUUUGAAGGAUCUGACACACACCCAAUAACAUUUUUUAAGAGUCCGAGCAACAUGGAUUUUACCCAUCAUAAAUAAAAGCUAAUGAAGAUUCCCAUCAUACUGCCACAUUGGUGUUAAAUAUUGAUCUUGAUAUAUUACAUGCUGAAUUGUAAGACUCCAUAAGAGAAAAACAUGUGAGACAAUCAUUAUAAUUGGAACACCUUCAAUGGUGGUAGUUGGUCAUGUUAUGACACUUCAUGGUCGCGUUGCCUCAAUAUUAAUUGAGCUUGGUUUGUUAAUUAGGAGUAUGUGAAGAGGUUCUGCAGGAGCAGAAACAAGUCCAAGAAAGAGACUAUUAUGAAGCGCACCUAGAAAUAUGAGGUUGAUGAAUAAAGAAGAUAUUUAUUCACAGUUGAAGAAACUGAACAAGUAUGCUUGUGUCAUUCAUGUGUUGGUUCAAGAUUGUUUUUGGCUGACACAUUACAGUAGAUUGGCUUUUGAUUUAUAAAAACAAAAACAUCCCUGCUUGACUGGGUGGUACCUUCUUUCUACAAAGUUUGUCUUGAAGAUGAGGUUGUAAUGUUCAUUAAUCUUCCUUCUUCGAUUGAUUUAUUUUUAUGUGAAAUAUUUCUUGAUGAGAAGAUAUUUGUAAAUCUACAGUUGACAGACUAAUCAGGAUAUAGAAAAGAAUGCAUAGCUUUACCGGGUUGAAGAAAAAUGAAUAAGAUCGGUAAAAUUUCCAACUUGACUGAAUGAGACUUCGACUGCACAACUUCACUUAACUUUCAUGUUGUCUGUUGGAGAAGAGAGAAUAUUAUUCAAAAAUAAAUGUAAGUUGUAUUUUUAAGUCUUUCAAGUACAUUCCAAAUUAUUUUUUGCACCUUUUAAAUUUUGUGUCCCUGUAACACAUUUUCUGUGGAAAAAGAAUUGUCGAAUUGUAGUUUGUAUAUUAAUAAUGACUGCUGACUGAUUUUCUGUGUUAAUUGAGCUCCUCUAAAGGUCCCUAAGAGAACACGAGUAUACUUCUACUAUGAGAAGACUGUUUAAAUUGUUUUUAUUUGUUGCUUAUUUUAUUUUAUUUUUUUUGUAUAGAACAUACAAAGUUUAUUAUGUUUGUGCAGUUUAUUCGUCAUGAUUGAGAAGGAACUUAUAGCACAUAAAUGGUUAUGAGAUGAAGAUGAAAGCAAAAGUUAAUAGCAUGAUAUAUGCUAUUUGAUCUUUUAUGAUUUUGUAAUUUGUGUUUGAUUGUUUCUUCUAGCUUGCUUUUGCAAGAGUUUCUUAAUGGUUUGCUAUUUGUCUUAUGAUAUAUGACUUAUUUAUCACGUUAUUACGAAUUAAUUUUUUAUCAGCUAUGUCAUCUCCAUAUUCCCUUUAUAGGUUGUGAUUGCAUACACAAUUUUUCUUCAUGUUUCAUCCAUAGGGAAGAUCCAAUCGUUACUAGAUCAAAAGCUGAUUUCUCGGGUAGUAGGUGAAUUUGAUUCCGCGGGGCUGCUUUCAUUUGGCGUUUUCUUCCUUUUGUGUAAAGAGAUGAAAUAAUGUACUGUUUGUCUUGAACUUGAUUGUCUAAGUCAAAUUUAUUAGCCAUUAUUGGUGUAGUUUUGUUUUGGAUAUAUGCAAUGCCUAUAUUACUUGGGAAGACAUUCUCCCGUGUAAAAUAAGUACUUAUACGACCUAUUUUUACAUUAAAGUAGUUAUGUCUUUAUGUUUUCUUUUUGACAACUUUACAUCAAAUAACUGCAAAACAAAAAUUACUUUAGAAUAUCAAAUAUUGGGCCCGUGUUCGGCACGGGCCAUACUUCUCUAGUGUGUGUGUGUGUAUAUAUAUAUAUAUAUAUAUGUAUAUGACUAAUAAUAAAUAUAUAGAAAUAACAAGUGACACAUAAAUAUAUAGUAGUAAC
rnacentral:lncRNA from 1 species